AGUGAACGCUGGCGGUAGGCCUAACACAUGCAAGUCGAACGGCAGCACAGUAAGAGCUUGCUCUUACGGGUGGCGAGUGGCGGACGGGUGAGGAAUACAUCGGAAUCUACUUUUUCGUGGGGGAUAACGUAGGGAAACUUACGCUAAUACCGCAUACGACCUACGGGUGAAAGCAGGGGAUCUUCGUACCUUGCGCGAUUGAAUGAGCCGAUGUCGGAUUAGCUAGUUGGCGGGGUAAAGGCCCACCAAGGCGACGAUCCGUAGCUGGUCUGAGAGGAUGAUCAGCCACACUGGAACUGAGACACGGUCCAGACUCCUACGGGAGGCAGCAGUGGGGAAUAUUGGACAAUGGGGGCAAGCCUGAUCCAGCCAUACCGCGUGGGUGAAGAAGGCCUUCGGGUUGUAAAGACCUUUUGUUGGGAAAGAAAAGCAGCAGGUUAAUACCCCGCUGUUCUGACGGUACCCAAAGAAUAAGCACCGGCUAACUUCGUG
rnacentral:rRNA from 1 species